rnacentral:rRNA from 1 species
AGCUUGCUUCUCUUGAGAGCGGCGGACGGGUGAGUAAAGCCUAGGAAUCUGCCUGGUAGUGGGGGAUAACGUUCGGAAACGGACGCUAAUACCGCAUACGUCCUACGGGAGAAAGCAGGGGACCUUCGGGCCUUGCGCUAUCAGAUGAGCCUAGGUCGGAUUAGCUAGUUGGUGAGGUAAUGGCUCACCAAGGCGACGAUCCGUAACUGGUCUGAGAGGAUGAUCAGUCACACUGGAACUGAGACACGGUCCAGACUCCUACGGGAGGCAGCAGUGGGGAAUAUUGGACAAUGGGCGAAAGCCUGAUCCAGCCAUGCCGCGUGUGUGAAGAAGGUCUUCGGAUUGUAAAGCACUUUAAGUUGGGAGGAAGGGUUGUAGAUUAAUACUCUGCAAUUUUGACGUUACCGACAGAAUAAGCACCGGCUAACUCUGUGCCAGCAGCCGCGGUAAUACAGAGGGUGCAAGCGUUAAUCGGAAUUACUGGGCGUAAAGCGCGCGUAGGUGGUUUGUUAAGUUGGAUGUGAAAUCCCCGGGCUCAACCUGGGAACUGCAUUCAAAACUGACAAGCUAGAGUAUGGUAGAGGG